CGACCUGAGAGCAAGCAAGGCUACCCGCCGAAUUUAAGCAUAUUAAUAAGCGGAGGAAAAGAAAACAACCGUGAUGCCCCUAGUAAUGGCGAAUGAAACGGGCAGAGCCCAGCACCGAACUGCCGUCCCUUUGGGACGUGCGGCAUGUGGUGUUUGGGAGCGGCUUUAGAGGUGGCUGCUGAGGCUUAAGUCAUCCAUGACUGGGUCUACAGCCCGCAGAGGGUGAUAGGCCUGUAAAGCUGAAGCUUCCUCCUCGUUGCCGUCUCCCCAGAGUCGAGUUGCUUGGGAGUGCAGCUCAAAGCGCGUGGUAAACUCCACGUAAGGCUAAACAUGUCCCCGAGACCGAUAGCGAACAAGUACCGUGAGGGAAAGUUGAAAAGAACUUUGAAGAGAGAGUUCAACAGUACGUGAAACUGUGUAGUGGUAAGCGGAGGGGUUUUCUCGAAGUCUGCGCCGGAGAUUCAGGCUCUCGGGUGGCAGUCCGUGCGGUUCUUGACCCUUGCGGGCAGGGCCGGACGGCUUGCUGCUCGCCCGAGGGUUGCACUUCUCUGGCGCUUCACGCAACGUACCGCUGGCAAUUGCAUGCUGCAGGCCUGGGUGAAGUUCCGUUUGCCGGCCCAGCGUUGGCGAGUGGAGCACCCUGCGUUCUGAGCCGUGCGGCCGGCGGGUAGCAGAGCGGCCUCGUAUAGCGAGUGUUCAACCCGUUGUUGGCACUGGCUGCAUCUCUGUUGCGAGUAGGUCGGUGGCCCCUCCGACCCGUCUUGAAACACGGACCAAGGAGUCUAACACGCGUGCAAGUCAUUGGGUGGACGAAACCCAAGGGCGCAGUGAAAGCAAAUGCAGGGGCGAUCCUCGUGCCGUUUGGUGCGGGCGCAGCCCCGGCGCUUCAAUUUGACCUCGUCUCAUCUGGAGCAGCAGGAGCACGCGUGUUGGGACCCGAAAGAUGGUGAACUAUGCCUGGCCAGGUUGAAGUCAGGGGAAACCCUGAUGGAGGACCGUAGCGAUUCUGACGUGCAAAUCGAUCGUCGGAGCUGGGUAUAGGGGCGAAAGACUAAUCGAACCAUCUAGUAGCUGGUUCCUUCCGAAGUUUCCCUCAGGAUAGCUGGUGCUCGUGACCGAGUUUCAUCCGGUAAAGCGAAUGAUUAGAAGUCUUGGGGGCGAAACGCCCUCAACUUAUUCUCAAACUUUAAAUGGGUGAGAAGUGGGACUUGCUUGAUUGAAGCCCUACAACGAAUCGGAGUGCCUAGUGGGCCAUUUUUGGUAAGCAGAACUGGCGAUGUGGGAUGAACCAAACGUCGGGUUAAAGUGCCAAAGUGGGCGCUCAUCAG